UGGGGGAUAUUGCACAAUGGGCGAAAGCCUGAUGCAGCGACGCCGCGUGGGGGAUGAAGGCCUUCGGGUUGUAAACUUCUUUUGCUCUGAACAAGGCGCACCAUGGGGUGUGUUGAGUGUAGGGGUUGAUUAGCGCCGGCUAACUACGUGCCAGCAGCCGCGGUAAUACGCUGGGCGCGAGCGUUGUCCGGAAUUAUUGGGCGUAAAGGGCUUGUAGGUGGCUGGUUGCGUCUGUCGUGAAAGCUCAUGGCUUAACUGUGGGUUUGCGGUGGGUACGGGCUGGCUUGAGUGCAGUAGGGGAGGAUGGAAUUCCUGGUGUAGCGGUGGAAUGCGCAGAUAUCAGGAGGAAUACCGGUGGCGAAGGCGGGUCUCUGGGCUGUUACUGACACUGAGGAGCGAAAGCAUGGGGAGCGAACAGG
rnacentral:rRNA from 1 species